rnacentral:rRNA from 1 species
GAUGAACGCUGGCGGCGUGCCUAACACAUGCAAGUCGAGCGAGAACGGGUUAUAGCUUGCUAUAAUUGUCAGCUAAGUGGCGCACGGGUGAGUAAUGUAUAGGUAAUAUGCCUCUUACUAAGGGAUAACAAAUGGAAACGUUUGCUAAUACCUUAUACUCCUUAUUAACAUAAGUUAAUAAGGGAAAGAUUUAUUGGUAAGAGAUUAGCCUGUGUUGUAUCAGUUAGUUGGUGGGGUAAUGGCUUACCAAGACUAUGACACAUAACUGGUUUGAGAGGAUGAUCAGUCACACUGGAACUGAGACACGGUCCAGACUCCUACGGGAGGCAGCAGUGGGGAAUAUUGCACAAUGGACGAAAGUCUGAUGCAGCAACGCCGCGUGGAGGAUGACACAUUUCGGAGCGUAAACUCCUUUUAUAUGUGAAGAUAAUGACGGUAUUAUAUGAAUAAGCACCGGCUAACUCCGUGCCAGCAGCCGCGGUAA